rnacentral:rRNA from 1 species
CCUACGGGAGGCUGCAGUGGGGAAUAUUGGGCAAUGGGCGCAAGCCUGACCCAGCAACGCCGCGUGAAGGAAGAAGUCUUUCGGAUUGUAAACUUCUUUUCUCAGGGACGAAGCAAGUGACGGUACCUAAGGAAUAAGCCACGGCUAACUACCUACCAACAGCCGCCGGAAUACGUAGGUGGCAAGCGUUAGUCGGCUUUACUGGGUGGAAGGGGAGGGUAGGCGGGACUGCAAGUCAGAUGUGAAAACCAUUGGCUCAAACUAUGGAGUGCAUAUGAAACUGCAGUGCUUGAGUACUGGAGAGGCAGACGGAAUUCCGAGUGUAGCGGUGAAAUGCGUAGAUAUUAGGAGGAACACCAGUGGCGAAGGCGGUUUGCUGGACAGCAACUGACGCUGAGGCGCGAAAGCGUGGGGAGCAAACAGGAUUAGAUACCCGAGUAGUC